rnacentral:rRNA from 1 species
UGAGUAAUGUCUGGGAAACUGCCCGAUGGAGGGGGAUAACUACUGGAAACGGUAGCUAAUACCGCAUAACGUCUUCGGACCAAAGUGGGGGACCUUCGGGCCUCAUGCCAUCAGAUGUGCCCAGAUGGGAUUAGCUAGUAGGUGGGGUAACGGCUCACCUAGGCGACGAUCCCUAGCUGGUCUGAGAGGAUGACCAGCCACACUGGAACUGAGACACGGUCCAGACUCCUACGGGAGGCAGCAGUGGGGAAUAUUGCACAAUGGGCGCAAGCCUGAUGCAGCCAUGCCGCGUGUAUGAAGAAGGCCUUCGGGUUGUAAAGUACUUUCAGCGAGGAGGAAGGCGUUAAGGUUAAUAACCUUAGCGAUUGACGUUACUCGCAGAAGAAGCACCGGCUAACUCCGUGCCAGCAGCCGCGGUAAUACGGAGGGUGCAAGCGUUAAUCGGAAUUACUGGGCGUAAAGCGCACGCAGGCGGUCUGUCAAGUCGGAUGUGAAAUCCCCGGG